rnacentral:rRNA from 1 species
GCACAAGCGGUGGAUGAUGUGGUUUAAUUCGAUGCAACGACGAAAACCUUACCCACCUUUGACAUGGCAGGAAUCCCGAAGAGAUUGGGAGUGCUCGAAAGAGAACCUGCACACAGGUGCUGCAUGGCUGUCGUCAGCUCGUGUCGUGAGAUGUUGGGUUAAGUCCCGCAACGAGCGCAACCCUUGCCAUUAGUUGCUACGAAAGGGCACUCUAAUGGGACUGCCGGUGACAAACCGGAGGAAGGCGGGGAUGACGUCAAGUCCUCAUGGCCCUUAUAGGUGGGGCUACACACGUCAUACAAUGGCCGGUACAGAGGGUAGCCAACCCGCGAGGGGGAGCCAAUCCCAUAAAGCCAUUCGUAGUCCGGAUCGCAGUCUGCAACUCGACUGCGUGAAGUCGGAAUCGCUAGUAAUCGUGGAUCAGAAUGUCACGGUGAAUACGUUCCCGGGUCUU